UGUAAAUUAAAAUUUAAAAGAAAGAUUAACAAAGAUAUAAUGUAGUUUAAAUAGUAAGAGCUCUCCAUAUGCAUUAAGAUGUUCAGGGUUCAAUUCCCCUCCAACAAACUCUUUUUUUUUUUUUUUUUUUUUGGGGAAAAUGGAGUAAAAGGGUUGGCCUGGUUUAAACCCAGCCAGCUUGACCAGUUGCUCACCGGUUACCCGACCAGUUCGCUCAGGUCAACCCCAAUUUUCAAUUGAAACGGGUCUUCUUUUAGAAC
rnacentral:misc_RNA from 1 species